GAGAAGCAAUGGCCGCCUGCGAAGUCGACGCUGGUGCGACAACGUUCGGUGAAACUACGAAUGAAAGUACCCAGAAGGUGUGUGAAGCUUCGGAUUCUGUGAUCGAACGGACCCUCGAGAGAACCCGCUUCCACCCGUGCGUCUACGACACAAGACGAAUGGAUUACCGCGAUCAAGCAAGAAAAAACACUAUGGGGAGCAGCCACCCGCCGCCAAUGCGGUCUCGCUACAGUCGAAGAAUGCCUGAAACUUUGGAAAAGGCUGCGAGAACGCUACACCCGCGAGACAAAGGCUUUUGAGUUGGCGACGCGGAGCAGCAGCGGCUUCGUUUCAAGGCGAACGUGGGAAUUAGCGCAGUCAAUGGAAUUCUACAAGAACUAUGGCCGCCAGACCAAAGCCACGUGCAAGCUUGAGGAGGUACCAUCAGCAGUAGAGGACGACACCACAGCAGAAGCAACUUAUACGUCGAUACAGCGAGGUACAUCUUCGCCGAUAGGGAGCAGCAACUGCGACCAUGAACAAUUUUCAACGGGCCACACAGAUCUACAUGACGAGGACGAAGCCGCUUUGCAGGCGACAAAAGAGCCAUCGAAGAAUACAUUAAAAAACGUAAAGCAAAUGACGUAUUUGAGCAACAGUUGUACUUCCAUCUGCAACAAAAAAUGGCC